UUUUUUUUUUUUUCUUUUUGUCCAGCUCAAGGAAGAAUUCUUAAAUGAAAGAAGAAAAGCACAUUUGCAAAGGUCACAUCGACGGAUUUUGAAGUGCAGUGGCAGAAGAUGACUUAAAUGAGACUUGAAUUCUGUGUUUCCCCACCAACAGUGUGAAAUAGAUGCAGCAAUCUGAUGUUUCUGCAGCGUGAGCAGUGUCAGCGUUUGAUGUUCGGGUGUUGAGUCACCGAGGGCUCACCUUUCCCUCCGGAUGACACCGUGACAGCUGCAACCAGCAGGUGCCUGAGAGCUGGCAGUGCUUUGAUUUCAAAAAGAGAGGGUUGCUGGCACGGCAUUUUCACAAGGAGUUCCUUCUCAGCUCUGCAAGUCCUUUCACUUCUUCGCUCAAUGGGACCUUGAUUUGAUAACACUGGGAGCGUAUCACAAACGGCACAUCUGCUCUGCCAGGAUGAGCCGUGGGACUGAGCUGCAGAGCUGCUUCCUGGGGAUCCCACUUGCUUUCAGCUUCAGUUUAUCUGUGAGCUUACCCUACUAAAUUAUCAUUAGAAAUUCCACCUCUUGUGAGGCACACGGCCUUUUGAGCACACCUAACAAAACAGAAGAUGUUCCCCUCUGCUGUGCUUCGCUGGGUGUGGGGCACUGAAAGGCUGAGCAAACCACAGACCUCAGGGUGACCUUAUCACUCUCCACAGCUCCCUGAAAGGUGGCUGUGCUCAGGUGGGGUUGGGCUCUUUCUCCAGCCAGCAGUGACAGAACCAGAGGACAAAGUCUCAAGCUGCACAAAGGGACAUAUAGGUUGGAUAUUAGGAAAAAGUUUUUUACAGAAAGAGUGAUAAAGUUCUUUAUCUUUAUCUCCCUGGGCUGACCCAGGGAGGUGGUGGAGUCACCAUCCCUGGAUGUGUUUAAAAACAGACUGGAUGUGGUGCCAGGGUUUAGUUGAGGUGUUGGGGCUGGGUUGAACACCUCAGCUUGAUGCUCUUGAAAGUCUCUUCCAACCUGGUUAUUCUGUGAAUUCUGUGGUUGUUUCUGACUAAGCAAAAGCAAGCACACAGAUUUCUCUACACCAGUUCAGCCACACUCGGUUUUUCCUGUGACCUGAGUCACAGUCAAGCAUUUAUUAUGUGACAUUCACAGCGAGAGUGGCAGAAUAAAAACAGGCUAAGAAACCUAAUCCUCAGAGGAGAGCAGUAUGUUCCCACUUGGGGUUUAGUCUCGCAGUGAAGAGGCUGUUAAGGGGUUUGUGAUCCUGGAGAUUGAUGCUGGGGGGAGCCUGGGUAGAGCACAGAGCCACUGGCAGUCGUCAGCUAAAGCUGCCUGAUGAUGGCAGCUGGAGUGGCCAGAGGAAUCCUCUCCUCCAAGGAACCCAGAAGAGUUUAAGUGCUUCCAGAAAUGAAUCCAUUAGAUGCUGAUGGUGAUGGUGAUUAGCAAAAGGUACCGUGAUGACUUAAAGUAUUUCAAGUGUCAUUCAGACUGAAACCUCUUUCAGGUGAAAAGUGUUGGACACAUCAGGACUGAGCUGCAGAGACCGAUUUGGCAGAUGUGGCAGCAAAUCUGGGCAUGGAUCUCACCACUAUGUGUGAGCAAAUGCUACUGAGAGAAUUCUCCCAUUUCCUUCUCAUUUAAAAAGUCUUGACUACUUUCUGUUGUAGUGAAGGUUUUCUAAUUAUUUGAAUCUUAUGUUUCAAAUUUAAUCCAAAAGUUAGGUCAUGGCAUAAGCUAUGGCAAAAUCUGUGUGGUAAAGGGGUUAAUUUGACACUACAGGGAUUUGAGCUUACAGCUUGAGUGAUUUAAAACACUGGAGCAACCUGGUCUAGUGGAAGGUGUCCCUGCCAUGGGAGGGGUUGGAACUGGAUAAUCUUUAAGGUCUCUUCCAACACAAACCAUCUGUGAUUCUGUGACACUGUUGUCCUCUGUAUUCUUUGAGACUCUCUGUACAUCAUCCAGCCACCAAAGUGAGAAUUUCUUCACAUGUGGUUAAAUCCACUUAUUUCUAGACAACCCUGACUUUCUUCAGUAAUUUAUUCUUCUUGGUAAAUAAUGCCUGCAAUCCUUGCAUAUUGGUCAAGCAUUUUUGGUCAAAGAGGUUGAAUAAACAGCCACGAAUCCUGCUGGGCAGCUGAACCAUCCCAGCACUGGCCCUUGAGGAAAUGAUGUUUGAGCAAAUGAUGUUUGUCAGGCAAAGUGAUUAAAGUCAGAUUUUAGAAAUUCUGGUCGUAUCACUCCAGUCCAUCUGCGUCUACCCUAAUGCACUGCAAGGGUGUGCCUGAAAUUAAAUUAAGGACGUGUACUCAGUCUUUCCCAAACUAUUUGUGGAACAGCAAUCUGCUGCUGGAGCCAGGUCCAGGACAGAAGUGCCUGUUAACCCUAAGCUGUAAGAUGAUGGUAACAACAUUAUGACUAGAAAAAUGCAGAGGAAAAUAAUGCUUAGUAUCAGAUGAGCUCACAGAUGUUGCAGACAGUAAACAAAAGGGGAAAUUAUAACCCAGUCAUUACAUUUUCACAAUGA
rnacentral:lncRNA from 1 species